GACGAACGCUGGCGGCGUGCUUAACACAUGCAAGUCGAACGGAAAGGCCCUGCUUUUGUGGGGUUCUCGAGUGGCGAACGGGUGAGUAACACGUGAGUCACCUGCCCUUGACUUUGGGAUAACUUCAGGAAACUGGGGCUAAUACCGGAUAGGAGCUCCUGCUGCAUGGUGGGGGUUGGAAAGUUUCGGCGGUUGGGGAUGGACUCUCGGCUUAUCAGCUUGUUGGUGGGGUAGUGGCUUACCAAGGCUUUGACGGGUAGCCGGCCUGAGAGGGUGACCGGCCACAUGGGGACUGCGAUACGGCCCAGACUCGUACGGGAGGCAGCGGUGGGGAAUAUUGCACAAUGGGCGGAAGCCUGAUGCAGCAACGCCGCGUGCGGGAUGACGGCCUUCGGGUUGUAAACCGCUUUCGCCUGUGACGAAGCGUGAGUGACGGUAAUGGGUAAAGAAGCACCGGCUAACUACGUG
rnacentral:rRNA from 1 species